GUUCCAGAAGUCCAAUGGAUAGCGCGUUGGACUUCUAAUCCAAAGGUCGUGGUUUCGAAUUCCACCUGGGAUG
rnacentral:tRNA from 1 species